rfam:Halomonas sp. BC04 BC04_c130, whole genome shotgun sequence.
CAACAUAGCCUUGAAAAACACACACGCACCGGCACAUGGUCCCGGGUGCUGCCGCGGCACCGCCUCGGUAGUCGGAUCCAUGGGGUGCGUGGAGGCCUAAC